UCUACGGUCAGUGCCAAUGCAUCGAUUCA
rnacentral:piRNA from 1 species